CCUACGGGUGGCAGCAGUGAGGAAUAUUGGUCAAUGGGCGCGAGCCUGAACCAGCCAAGUAGCGUGAAGGAUGACUGUCCUCCGGGUGGUAACCUUCUUUUAUAGAGGAAUAAAGUGAGGCACGUAUGCCGUUGUGUAUGUACUGUAUGAAUAAGGAUCGGCUAACUCAGUGCCAGCAGCCGCGGUGAUACGGAGGAUACGAGCGUUAUCCGGAUUUAUUGGGUUGAAAGGGAGCGUAGAUGGGUUGUUAAGUCAGGUGUGAAAGUUUGCGGCUCAACCGUAAAACUGCAAUUGAUACUGGCAGUCUUGAGUACAGUUGAGGUAGGCGGAAUUCGUGGUGUAGCGGUGAAAUGCUUAGAUAUCACGAAGAACUCCGAUUGCGAAGGCAGCUUACUAAACUGCCACUGACAUUGAUGCGCGAAAGUGUGGGUAGCAAACAGGAUUAGAUACCCCUGUAGUC
rnacentral:rRNA from 1 species